AUGCCGUGGGGCGUCCCGGAGGAGCUCCGCGAAGGGUGCGCGCUGCUGGGGGCCACGCCCUCGAGAGGCCGCUCGCAGGUGGAGGCCCGCCUGCAGGAGCGAAGCUGGGGUCCAGGGGCUCCAGGCCCUGUGCCCCCAGGCCCACGGCCGCCGGCGAGCGCGCGGGCCGCAGUACCUACGGAGCACCGCCGAGAAGCACGGCCCUCGGGGCUGCCCCACGCGGCGGACGGAGCCCCCCGGCCGCUGCGCCCCCCGCAGGUCGCGCCCCGCUCGCCGGCGCCGGCCCCACGGUGCCCCGCGCCGCGCACGCGCACCAGGCCACUCCGCAGGCAGACACCCGGGAAGGACCCCGCGCAGCCGCCGCGGAGCCGCCUUAAAAGGGCAGGCGCAGCGCCGGCGUCACGUGGGGCUCGCGUCACGUGGGGGCGGGGCCUAGGGGGGCCUGCGGUCAGAUGGGCGAGGGCCUGGAAGGCGGGGCCAGGCGGGCCAGGUGGGCGGGGCCUGGAGGGCAGAAGGCGGGGCCAUGUGGGGCGGGUGGGCGAUGGGGAACCGGGGGUGGGGCCUGGUAGGCGGGAGUCAGGGGGCGGGGGCAGGUGGGCGGUGGGUGGGGCCUCUCGCCUGCGGAGCCUGGGGUCCUGCCCAGGAGUCCCCAGGAGUGCGGGGCGGCCCGGGGGUGGGGGGGGAGUCCCCGAGCCAGGAGCGCUCGCCCUCGUCGAGGUCUCUGCAGCGCUGCCAGAGGCCUGGAGAUUGGAGCUGGGGCCCGGGGACACGUGGGAAUUUGCCGGUGCAGAAAGGGACUCGCACGCUCCCCAGCGCGGGCAGCCCUGGGGGCGGAGCAGGGACGGCGGCGGGUGGCGGUGCCGGGGAUGGGCACGGGUUGGCGGGCCUGGGUCACGGCGGUUAGCCGGCAGUCCUCGUGAGAUCGCCAGCGUCCGGAGCCUGCACGACGGUGGAAGGAGGCAUGUCCAGAUCGUCCACCUGCCGAAAACUAGCUGUGCUGUACUCUGUAUCUCGCUUCUCUCACAGCGUCAAACGUGGCCGUUCCCUGUGUGGUGA
rnacentral:lncRNA from 1 species